GAUGCGACCUCAGCUCAGGCGGGGCCACCCGCUGAGUUUAAGCAUAUCAAUAAGCGAGG
rnacentral:rRNA from 1 species